GCCAGGCAUGGUGCUGCAUGCCUGUAGUCCUAGCUACUAGGGAGGCUGAGAUGGGAGAAUCGCUUAAGCCCAGGAGUUCAAGGCUGCAGUGAGCUAUGAUUACACCACUGCACUCCAGCCUGGGCAACAGAGUGAGACCCUAAGUCUA
ensembl:misc_RNA Metazoa_SRP Metazoan signal recognition particle RNA